CGGCGAGUGAAGCGGCAACAGCUCAAAUUUGAAAUCUGGCCCUUGGGUCCGAAUUGUAAUUUGUAGAGGAUGAUUUUGGUGCGGUAUCUUCCGAGUUCCUUGGAACAGGACGCCUUAGAGGGUGAGAGCCCCGUACGGUUGAAUGCCUAGCCUCUGUAAAUCUCCUUCGACGAGUCGAGUAGUUUGGGAAUGCUGCUCUAAAUGGGAGGUAAAUUUCUUCUAAAGCUAAAUACUGGCCAGAGACCGAUAGCGCACAAGUAGAGUGAUCGAAAGAUGAAAAGCACUUUGAAAAGAGGGUUAAAUAGCACGUGAAAUUGUUGAAAGGGAAGGAUUUAUGACCAGACUUUUUCUGGGCGGAUCAUCCGGUGUUCUCACCGGUGCACUUUGCCCAGUUUAGGCCAGCAUCGAUUUUCGGAGAGGGAUAAAAGCUUUAGGAAUGUGGCUCCUCCGGGAGUGUUAUAGCCUAUUGUAUAAUACCUUUCUGGGGAUCGAGGUACGCGCUUCUGCAAGGAUGCUGGCGUAAUGGUUAUCAAUCACCCGUCUUGAAACACGGACCAAGGAGUCGAACAUUUGUGCGAGUGUUUGGGUGUUAAACCCUCACGCGUAAUGAAAGUGAACGGAGGUGAGAGCCCUUACGGGUGCAUCAUCGACCGAUCCUGAAGUUUUCGGAUGGAUUUGAGUAAGAGCAUAACUGUUCGGACCCGAAAGAUGGUGAACUAUGCGUGGAUAGGGUGAAGCCAGAGGAAACUCUGGUGGAGGCUCGCAGCGGUUCUGACGUGCAAAUCGAUCGUCAAAUCUGCGCAUGGGGGCGAAAGACUAAUCGAACCAUCUAGUAGCUGGUUACCGCCGAAGUUUCCCUCAGGAUAGCAGUGUUGUCUUCAGUUUUAUGAGGUAAAGCGAAUGAUUAGGGACUCGGGGGCUAUUUUUUGCCUUCAUCCAUUCUCAAACUUUAAAUAUGUAAGAAGCCCUUGUUACUUAAUUGAACGUGGGCAUUCGAAUGUACCAACACUAGUGGGCCAUUUUUGGUAAGCAGAACUGGCGAUGCGGGAUGAACCGAACGCGGGGUUAAGGUGCCGGAGUGGACGCUCAUCAGACACCACAAAAGGUGUUAGUACAUCUUGACAGCAGGACGGUGGCCAUGGAAGUCGGAAUCCGCUAAGGACUGUGUAACAACUCACCUGCCGAAUGUACUAGCCCUGAAAAUGGAUGGCGCUCAAGCGUCCCACCCAUACCUCGCCCUUAGGGUAGAAACGAUGCCCUAAGGAGUAGGCGGCCGUGGAGGUCAG
rnacentral:rRNA from 1 species